GAACCCUGCCCAGGGGCAUUUGCAAAAAAUAAUCUUUCUUUGUCGCUUUGCAGAUGAUGAAUGAUGGAAGAGAGAGAUUAAAUGCCUUCUAGUGAGAACAAAUCUUUUGCAGAGCCAGCACGGAACACACAUUAUUUGAUUCCCUUUUCAGCACCCGAGCCAUGAGAUCAUUCUGCUCCUGUACUGACAUUAAGGAAAUAACCGUAAAUGGGACCAUGACAAGACUGCAAAGUUUUUGUGUUUUGACAAUCACCUGGAGAAAAAUAUCUGGUAAUCUACACUCAGACAAAAGGAUGGAAAAUUCAUCAUCUCGGAAACCAGCAUGGUGGUACCUACAGAAGCACAUGAGAUACGUCAAGGAUGCACAACAUGAAGAGACAACUCAUUUUCAGAGAUGACAGCAUGAGGAGCUCCGUUGAGGCUUCCUGGAGCAGUGGCUCAACCAAUCACAGCAAAUGUUAACCGUAAAGUACUCAGUCUCACGUAACCCAGACAGCUCAGUGCUCUGUGAAGCAAAAGGAACAAAAUUCCUCAAGUUCAUUGGUAAGAAAACUUUUUUAACCUUCCUUUCUUAUUCUUCUUAGGACACGGGCAUUGUUCUACAUUUUCCUGACCUUUAAAAUCUGUAGGGAGUGCAGAAAGAGGAGGAGAGAGGGCUGACAUUGUGACCAGUGUUUCCUACUCCAUCACCUCUUUGCUUUGCUUGUUUAUGUCCCUGUCAGAAAGUGUUGCAAGGCACUUAGGAAAAGCCAUUUUAUUUAAAGAUUCUUA
rnacentral:lncRNA from 1 species